rnacentral:rRNA from 1 species
UACGGGGGGGCAAGCGUUGUCCGGAAUCAUUGGGCGUAAAGGGCGCGUAGGCGGCUCGGCACGUCCGUUGUGAAAUCGCCCGGCUCAACUGGGCGGGGUCAGCGGAUACGGCCGAGCUGGAGCAAGCUAGGGGGUAAUGGAAUUCCCGGUGUAGUGGUGGAAUGCGUAGAUAUCGGGAGGAACACCAGUGGCGAAGGCGGUUACCUGGAGCUUUGCUGACGCUGAUGCGCGAAAGCGUGGGGAGCAAACGGGG